UGGAGAAGCUCGGGUCAAAAUUGUGUUACCUUAAACAAGAUAAGACUACACGAGGCAAAGGAAAGAACAAUUUCUAUGGCAUUGGUGGAUUGGAGCUAUUCAAGGUCACACAGUAAGUUGUCAAAAUAAAACUUAACAGUCUUUAAAAGAAGACAAUGUAAUUCAAAUGUCCAAAAGUACACAACUGAUCAUGCCCAGCAUACUAUAAAAAAUUACAACAUGUGAAGAGUUGGGAAAAUGUGACCUACAAUCAAGAAGAAAUUCAUCUAAAGGAAAAGGCAAGGUGCUGACCCAGAUGCUAGAAUAACAGAUCAGUGUUGCAAGAAACAAGGAAAAUUCUUUGAGCUGAGCGAGCAGGAUCCACACACAAGCUGGAGGAACGAAAUGGUGACUAUGAGGGAUUAGUGCCAUUGGCAUUGCUGGAAACAGUCCUUCUGAAUAAAAUUAGCUUAAGG